CCAGACCCCUGGCUCUGAGACAGCCAGGGCCAUGUCUGUUCUGUUCACAGUACACUCAGUACUGAGUGUACACUGAGUGAGGACACUCAGCAGCAAAACAGCCAGGUGGUGAAUAAGAUGUAAAUCUACUGCUGCUCACUGGAGGGAUACCUAAAGGACAGAAUGAAAGUCACAAGAAAGAUGGGGGGUUCUGUUCUUGGUGUGUUGUGAAAGUCUCACACUGCCCUGAGCAGUUGGAUAACCUUCCUGUGGUCUCUACUUUCCCGUGAGUAACCUUCUCCACAAAAGGAUCGGAGUUCUCCUUCUUUUGGAGCAGGGGCCUGGAGCAGCCCAGCCAGGCUUGGCUGAGGUGACAACACACCUAUUCAUGUGUGAACCUGGUAGAAGCCGAGAUGGCCACACUGGCCUCCCCUCUCCUGUCCACGUGGUCACCUCUUCUUAGCCCAGUGCCCUUUUGCCUCUCUGAAGGGGAUUUGCUGUGCUGAGGCAAGGGACACUCCAGCUACAGCACCUCUCUGUCCAAGGCUGACGUCUUCAGCCUUGUUCCAGGCCUUUACUCCAAAGGCCAAGCAUCUUCCGUGAAAAAAGCUGCACCAAGUGUAAACCAGGAACCAAGAGAGGAUGGACAAGAGGGUCUGGAUGCCGUGUUUCUAAUCAGAACCAGGUUUGGAAUGAGGUCUGGCAGGUCAUACAGGCAAUGGCUUUCUGCUCCUUUUUUUGAGACGGUCUCUCUGUGUAACUCUAGAACUCUCUAUGUACACCAUGAUGGCCUUGAACUGGUAGAGAUCUGCCUACCUCUGUCUCCUGAGUGCUGGAAUUAAAUGUAUGUGUCCUUCAUACCUGGCUCAA